UUCGAGGUGCUGCUGCCGCCGCCGGACCUGCGCCUUCGCGCCACUUCGCGCCCUCGGGCGAGGCCGAGGGGGUGGGGACGACCCCCGCCGCGCUUCCGAGGCUCGCGCCCUGCGCGAAGCCCCUUCUACAGGGUGGGCCGGCCAGCCGGCCUCACCCCCUGGCUGGGGCCUCCAGUCGUAGUAAAGCAGAGGCGGGUGGGGAGGCGGGAGCGAUAGUCCGCGGCGGGCGAGGCGAAGAUGGUGGCGGCUACUUCUGCCGCCAUACACGUGGACCUAAGUGCACCAAAAGCUUUUCUAAGGAUAGUUGCUGAGAAAGAAGUUUUCCCGAGUGGGCAAAACUGUCUAAGCAGAACAAGCCAGACUUGGCUUUCCCUAUAGCUGGACAAGUCCUACGGAAUGAUCCCCGACGAUUCAGCCUGCAGCUGCCUAGAGAACGAUUCAAGGCUAUUCAAGGCUAUGUUAAAGUUCAUGUGUACUUAAUGAAAUAACUUGUUAGUAAGUGACCGCCUGGCGUGGUUUGUCUAGCAUUAAGAAAAGUUAGGAGCCUCUGGGCUGAGCAGAAAAGGUAAGGAGAGCUCAGUGUACAGACUUACUUCUUGGUGUGUGUCUGGAGAUAAUAUGCCUACUCAAGAUGUGGCUUUAAAAGUCUGAAUGUACUUCUGUUUUGAUAAAUAUUCUUUGUAUUGUCAGUAAUAAUAUUGAUAAACUGUAAUAUCUUUAGUGAGUUUUAAAGGAUAACUGGGGGGGUAUCCCAUCAAUUUUAGGACCAUAAAAUAUUUGUUUUAAAAAGCUUAGUUUUCCCAGUAAUUUGAACCAAGACACAGCAUUGAGAUGCCUACUUUAAUAUGCAUUUAUGAUUUAAUCAUGUUCUUUGAGUUUUAGUGCCUUUAAUGUAAACAAAAUUAUGUAUUUUAAAACUGUUAAGAAAUUGUCCAGAAUGAGCAUAUUGAAAUAAAAAUUUUAAGGUUAUUUUUAGUUGUGACGGUUUCUCUGGGUUUGUUUUCGUUGUUGUUUUUUUGUUCAUUUGUUUUUGUUACAGUAAGUGUGCCUAACAUCUUCAUCGAGGUAAUUGGGGAGGUGGUGUAAAUACCAAGGGUGAUUUGCCUGCAUUAUCUUAGUUCAGUAUCCAUUGCCUCUGAAUUGAGAUAAGCAUAAUUUCUUGUACAAAAAGGAUGUAAAACUGGAAAAUGGACUCUGAAUUAAAAUUAUGUCAGUUUUUUUUAAAAGGUUAACUUCUAAUCUGACAUGCUUAUAUCACACCUGAAUUUAUUUGAUUUGGGUUUUUAGUGUAUUAAAGGCUACUAAGAAAAGUCCCAAGUAUAAAUUAUUUAUUAAUUUAUGUAUAUUAUAGGUCAUGAGCACUAAAAAUCCAGCCACUUGCUAUUUUAUUAAGCUAGUUAAGUCUGAAGAAUCUCCUUUUACUGGAAUA